CUACGGAGGGUGCAAGCGUUAUUCGGAAUCACUGGGCGUAAAGGACGCGUAGGCGGGUUGGCAAGUCAGAUGUGAAAUCCUACAGCUUAACUGUAGAACUGCAUUUGAAACUGCUAACCUAGAGUAUGGGAGGGGGAGAUGGAAUUAGUGGUGUAGGGGUAAAAUCCGUAGAUAUCACUAGGAAUACCGAAAGCGAAGGCGAUCUCCUGGAACAUAACUGACGCUAAGGCGUGAAAGCGUGGGGAGCAAACAGGAUUAGAAACCCUAGUAGUAC
rnacentral:rRNA from 1 species